UACGUAGGGGGCUAGCGUUGUCCGGAAUCAUUGGGCGUAAAGAGCGUGUAGGCGGUCCGGUAAGUCCGCUGUGAAAGUCGGGGGCUCAACCCUCGAAUGCCGGUGGAUACUGUCGGGCUAGAGUGCGGAAGAGGCGAGUGGAAUUCCUGGUGUAGCGGUGAAAUGCGCAGAUAUCAGGAGGAACACCAAUUGCGAAGGCAGCUCGCUGGGACGUAACUGACGCUGAGAAGCGAAAGCAUGGGGAGCGAACAGG
rnacentral:rRNA from 1 species